AGAGUUUGAUCCUGGCUCAGGAUGAACGCUAGCUACAGGCUUAACACAUGCAAGUCGAGGGGCAGCAUGGUCUUAGCUUGCUAAGGCCGAUGGCGACCGGCGCACGGGUGAGUAACACGUAUCCAACCUGCCGUCUACUCUUGGACAGCCUUCUGAAAGGAAGAUUAAUACAAGAUGGCAUCAUGAGUCCGCAUGUUCACAUGAUUAAAGGUAUUCCGGUAGACGAUGGGGAUGCGUUCCAUUAGAUAGUAGGCGGGGUAACGGCCCACCUAGUCUUCGAUGGAUAGGGGUUCUGAGAGGAAGGUCCCCCACAUUGGAACUGAGACACGGUCCAAACUCCUACGGGAGGCAGCAGUGAGGAAUAUUGGUCAAUGGGCGAGAGCCUGAACCAGCCAAGUAGCGUGAAGGAUGACUGCCCUAUGGGUUGUAAACUUCUUUUAUAAAGGAAUAAAGUCGGGUAUGCAUACCCGUUUGCAUGUACUUUAUGAAUAAGGAUCGGCUAACUCCGUGCCAGCAGCCGCGGUAAUACGGAGGAUCCGAGCGUUAUCCGGAUUUAUUGGGUUUAAAGGGAGCGUAGGUGGACAGUUAAGUCAGUUGUGAAAGUUUGCGGCUCAACCGUAAAAUUGCAGUUGAUACUGGCUGUCUUGAGUACAGUAGAGGUGGGCGGAAUUCGUGGUGUAGCGGUGAAAUGCUUAGAUAUCACGAAGAACUCCGAUUGCGAAGGCAGCUCACUGGACUGCAACUGACACUGAUGCUCGAAAGUGUGGGUAUCAAACAGGAUUAGAUACCCUGGUAGUCCACACAGUAAACGAUGAAUACUCGCUGUUUGCGAUAUACAGUAAGCGGCCAAGCGAAAGCAUUAAGUAUUCCACCUGGGGAGUACGCCGGCAACGGUGAAACUCAAAGGAAUUGACGGGGGCCCGCACAAGCGGAGGAACAUGUGGUUUAAUUCGAUGAUACGCGAGGAACCUUACCCGGGCUUAAAUUGCAUUUGAAUAUAUUGGAAACAGUAUAGUCGUAAGACAAAUGUGAAGGUGCUGCAUGGUUGUCGUCAGCUCGUGCCGUGAGGUGUCGGCUUAAGUGCCAUAACGAGCGCAACCCUUAUCUUUAGUUACUAACAGGUCAUGCUGAGGACUCUAGAGAGACUGCCGUCGUAAGAUGUGAGGAAGGUGGGGAUGACGUCAAAUCAGCACGGCCCUUACGUCCGGGGCUACACACGUGUUACAAUGGGGGGUACAGAAGGCAGCUACCUGGUGACAGGAUGCUAAUCCCAAAAGCCUCUCUCAGUUCGGAUCGAAGUCUGCAACCCGACUUCGUGAAGCUGGAUUCGCUAGUAAUCGCGCAUCAGCCAUGGCGCGGUGAAUACGUUCCCGGGCCUUGCACACACCGCCCGUCA
rnacentral:rRNA from 1 species